AUCGAACGCUGGCGGCAGGCUUAACACAUGCAAGUCGAGCGGGGGAAGGUAGCUUGCUACCGGACCUAGCGGCGGACGGGUGAGUAAUGCUUAGGAAUCUGCCUAUUAGUGGGGGACAACAUCUCGAAAGGGAUGCUAAUACCGCAUACGUCCUACGGGAGAAAGCAGGGGAUCUUCGGACCUUGCGCUAAUAGAUGAGCCUAAGUCGGAUUAGCUAGUUGGUGGGGUAAAGGCCUACCAAGGCGACGAUCUGUAGCGGGUCUGAGAGGAUGAUCCGCCACACUGGGACUGAGACACGGCCCAGACUCCUACGGGAGGCAGCAGUGGGGAAUAUUGGACAAUGGGGGAACCCUGAUCCAGCCAUGCCGCGUGUGUGAAGAAGGCCUUAUGGUUGUAAAGCACUUUAAGCGAGGAGGAGGCUACUCUAGUUAAUACCUAGGGAUAGUGGACGUUACUCGCAGAAUAAGCACCGGCUAACUCUGUGCCAGCCGCCGCCGUAA
rnacentral:rRNA from 1 species